rnacentral:tRNA from 1 species
GUUUAUAUAAUUCAAAUUAAGAAUUUUGCUUUGAAGCAGCAAGAGUGGUAGUCUUACCUGUAAACA